rnacentral:rRNA from 1 species
AUUGAACGCUGGCGGCAUGCUUUACACAUGCAAGUCGAACGGUAACAGGCCGCAAGGUGCUGACGAGUGGCGAACGGGUGAGUAAUGCAUCGGAACGUGCCCAGUCGUGGGGGAUAACUACUCGAAAGAGUAGCUAAUACCGCAUACGAUCUAUGGAUGAAAGCGGGGGACCGUAAGGCCUCGCGCGAUUGGAGCGGCCGAUGUCAGAUUAGGUUGUUGGUGGGGUAAAGGCUCACCAAGCCAACGAUCUGUAGCUGGUCUGAGAGGACGACCAGCCACACUGGGACUGAGACACGGCCCAGACUCCUACGGGAGGCAGCAGUGGGGAAUUUUGGACAAUGGGCGCAAGCCUGAUCCAGCAAUGCCGCGUGCAGGAAGAAGGCCUUCGGGUUGUAAACUGCUUUUGUACGGAACGAAACGGCUCUGGUUAAUACCCGGGGCUAAUGACGGUACCGUAAGAAUAAGCACCGGCUAACUACGUG